GAUGAACGCUGGCGGCGUGCUUAACACAUGCAAGUCGAACGGUGAAGCAGAGCUUGCUCUGUGGAUCAGUGGCGAACGGGUGAGUAACACGUGAGCAACCUGCCCCUGACUCUGGGAUAAGCGCUGGAAACGGCGUCUAAUACUGGAUAUGAGCUGCGACCGCAUGGUCAGCAGUUGGAAAGAUUUUUCGGUCUGGGAUGGGCUCACGGCCUAUCAGCUUGUUGGUGAGGUAAUGGCUCACCAAGGCGUCGACGGGUAGCCGGCCUGAGAGGGUGACCGGCCACACUGGGACUGAGACACGGCCCAG
rnacentral:rRNA from 1 species